rnacentral:sRNA from 1 species
AUUUUCUUAGACAAGCUUGUAAAGUAAAUAAUAGGCUUUAGAAGUGGCGUGCCUGUCCUGGUUGGGGGCAACUGUAAAGAAUUGAUAAUUCUACUUGAUAAUACCAGACCUAAGCGAGUUAGAGCAGUUGG